GAGCAGGGGUAAAGAGCUGCCAGAGAGACAGAAAGAGAUGAGCAGAUCUUCUCUCCUACCAAGGCUGAGAUGACUCUCAGAGAGAGGGCCGCAGCCAAGGGGAGGAGGGAGAUGGCAGGGCAGACCUCUUUUGGGGAAGUGGGCCAGGCUCAAACAUGCCCCCACAGCCUGUCCAGGAGGCCCCAGAUGGGCCAAGGACUAUAGGGGUCCCGGCUGCCCUCCCCCAAACCUCCCCUCCCUUCUCUCCCUCUCUUUCUCGGCUGGCUAUCGACCGGGGCUGUGACAUGGUAGAUCAAUACGGCAGGGAUAUAAAGCCGGCUGGCUGCCUGCCUGCCUCUGCCUCUCUCUCUCUCUCUCUCUCUCUCUCUCUCUCUCUCUCUCUCCUUUGCUUGCCUUGCUUCCCUUCCCGGAGCCAGCCGCACCCAGGCCCCCCACCCCCAUGCACCCCUUACCCCAGCUUCUGAGGGGCCAGGGCCCCCACCACCACUCCCCUACAGCGGGAGAGCUUAGGGAGGCUGAGAGCUUGGACAGCCAGGAAAGGGGCAGGCUCCACAUCCCCUCGUGGCCCUCUCUGGAGACAGAAGUAAGAAUACUCCCCACAUGCGAGACUCAGAAACCCUGACACAGAGGAAAAGAGGUGACCAGUAAGGAAUGGAGAGGCCAAAUACAGACGAAGACUAAGAAAAUGAGAAAGAAGAGGACAGGGUGGAACCACACCUGGAAAAGGAAGGAAGACCAGGAGCAGAGACCUGCCGGGAAUUUCGAGCCAGACAGUCUGGGUGGGCAUGGGACACUCACCAUGAUUCCCAACAAACCUUGCUAAAAACUUCUAGGGUUGGACCCUAAGGCCUGCCCUCUGUUUGCCAGCUCUCACACAGACCCCUGAGGAGCACCUCCCUCUAUCUGAAGUCAGAGCCCAGUGCCUGCCCUCAGCCCCUGGGGUUCCAUGCUUGCCAGAAUGGUGAUCACUCGGCCUUCAGUUGCUGUGGGACUGUCAGGCAUUUCAGGGACCCGUUGUUUCAAACCUGCUAAGAGAUGUGAGCCAUUUUUACCUCAUCCACAUCUGUAUAUCCCAUCCCACAGCCAACAGACACUCUGUCUAUAGCUGUCUCUACCUACCCCACCCAGUGACAAAACUCAGCCACAGGGAUCAAGCAAUCUCCCCACACCCCACAUUGGGAGACAGUCCUUGGCAUCUGGACUAUAAAUCCAGUGAAGAACAUCAAUGCCAACAGCCCCUGCCCACAACCUGGUUCACACAGCUGCCACCUAUGGAGUAUCCCGUGGGUCUCACCCAAAGUCACUAACACCAAGAAAGCUGCCUGCCCUGACUAAAGCUGUGUUCUAGCACCCCCAAACCCCAUCUGUAACAGUAAAUGCCCUACUCCUAAAGCCAAAGCACCCCAGUUUCAAUACAGAAAGAAACUGGGCCUGAGGAUCUGGAUACAUCCCUGACCACCUAUCAUUUCUGGAUCUUUUCUGCACCCACCACCACCCCUACACCUUCACCUGGAGAGAACAUCUCUACCUUGUGGCUCAACACCCUCUUCAUGCAGUUCUCUUCAAGUCACCUCACCAGGAACAGUGAUGAAAGUCUUUCACUCACAGCUAAAUGCCUGCUUCCAAGGCCUUUAGGACUCUGUGGUUAGUGUGGGUUCCCUGGGGCACACCCCUGGUGAGUACAUCUGAAUCAUCUCUGCAACCCUGGGACCAGUUUCACAUAACUUUUUGUGUAAGGUUGAAGGGACAAAAGGGAGGGAGAGACAAGGUGAUAACACAGCCCUGCUCCUGCCCUGGCACUCUGAGGACAUCAGGCCCAGAUGACUGUAGCUGGCCAUGGGGACUCUGAGGCCAGGCUAGGAUCCAUCAUCCCCAAUAGUGAAUAACAGCCAGUCAGCUAGACACACCUUCCCACUUACCAGAGCUGUAACUUAUUCCUUGGCUUUUCCUAACCCUCAGGAGCUUCUCCUUAUCACUUUCUCCAAAAUUCUUCUGGAAGCCCCCUAAGCAGGCCAGUCUCUUCCCUUCUUCCCUAACCCAGCACCUGGUAGCCCCUUGGUUGAGGUAAUAGUGUUUAUGCCUGACUCUUCAUCAGCUGGGGGCCCCUCUGAGGCCUCAGAAGAUAUGCCUUUUUUCUUCUCCUUCAGACAAUAGUUCAAGGCCUAGUGCACAAGAAAUUCCAGAAAAUGUUGGCUGUAAGAAUAAAUGAAUGGAUAAGGGUU